CAAAAACUUACCUGCCAUUUCACUGGAUGAGGUGGUUCAGGCCAUCUUCAGACAGCUAGAAGUUACAGGAGCGUAACCAUUUAUGAUGCUGUGAUACAAACGACACUCUGACGCUGAACCGUAAAGGCUUACUCCACUCUUGGUGGAAUGGCACCUGGUUGUACCUGCAGUGUCUGACAUCAUGAUAGAAAAUCUGGCUUUCUCUCCAUCUGGAGAGGAGUGUUCUUCUGUAGCAGCAUUCACAAUUUAAAAACAGGACUGCAGGGAAUGCAGUGAGGCUUGAGCAAAGGCAGUGGGGGGAGUUAUUGGCGUAUAAAUUCUCUCAGACAUCUGGUGCAGUAAGGUAGACCCGGGCCUUUAGGGCGGAGUAGCUACUCUCCUGCUGAUCGGACAGACUGAUGCUAUUGCCGAACUCAACCAUCGUAACUUUGAGUGGUAGUUCAGGGAGGGCAAUACAGCAGAAUACCAGAGAACAACAGUCUUGUGUGAAUGUGCGGCUGUGUAAAAUCCAUUGAUAUCUUACGCAUGGAAACAUUUUCAGGUUUUGACCCCAACUGGGUCAACUUGUCCAGCUGUUUGCCUUCCACCAACCAGCUUUUCUUGACAUCCGUCACCAACAGGUACUGUACUACCUUCAAAGAUUGGAUGUGAAUUGGCUCAACUCAUUUUUAUAGAAGUCUGUUUUUCUAACAAUGUGGAAGCUACUAACUAAAGUUGUUCCGUGAAAACGUUAUUGAUAACUCGCCACAUUGUUUGGGUGAAGACUCAACAACAGUUGUUCAGCUUGGAAUUUUCUUUGUGCAUCGUCAGCGACGGUGACCUUGUUCGAACCCGAGUUUCCCCAUUCAGCUGUUUCACUGUGCGAAUUGUAUUAGCAGACGCAUUUUGUGUCCAAUCUUUUAUUGAUAAUGGGAUUCCAAUUACGCAAGUGAGUUAAAGCUGAGUUAAAGUUGGCAGCCAACCUCUGGAGUUUUAUGUGGUGAGAGGGUGAAGCUUUUCUCCAGCAUGCAGCACGAGGAGGAAGCAUUUGAGGAUCCAGCUUUAUUUAUGAAUUGAAAUACACGGGCCUGCUGCCAGACGAGACUUUUUGCUUGACCACAAAAGUCCAUGAGAAAAAUUCAGAGUUAUAUGAUCCAGCUUUUCUCUCUCUCUCUUUCUGGAAGACUGGACGCCAGCGAGGUGGGAGUGCGAACGUUCAACAAGGCCGCGCUUGUUCUCCGAGCUGCCGUGUCCCCUGCGUGUCCUCUGUAUGAAACAAAAACAAAGACACAAGCUGAAGAAUCUGGGCCAAUAGAGCUAGCGGUGAUUGUUUGUUUUCUCUCAGCUUUCCUAUUGUAAAAUGUGUUCAGCUCAUCGCUAUGACCAGCUAAGAAGGGAAACAAAAAGUCACAUCCCACUGACUGCUGCUGAAAUUUAUUAGUCAUAAAUCAGAAGAUAUACACCUAGAAAUAUAGACUUUGGGUGUAAACAAACUAGAGAUGCAACAAUCAGAAUUUUGCGACAGAUUCCUGAGCUGUGGUUUCUGUAAAGACUGGUUGCUCUACGAACUGUUUACGAAUUUGAGUUUCCCACCGGCAGGGCCGAUGCAGAACAAGCUGGAAAGAGUACGGUUACUGGGCAACUUCUCAGUUUAUCGCUGAAACGGAAAUGAUGAAAAAGGGUCAUCAUGAAUCUCUUCGACCCAAAGAGAAUGUAAAACUGUGACACGCAUCUAAACUCAAAUAGUCCACUGUAAGCCUCGCUGCCCAACCAAACUAAUAAAAGCAAGGCUCAUUUUG